rnacentral:tRNA from 1 species
CAUCAGAUGACUGAAAGCAAGUAAUGGUCUCUUAAACCAGUCUAUGAUGUCAUUAGCAAACAUCUCUGAUGA